GCGCUGCCUUUGAGUCCCCGCCGCGCCUGCACGUGGCUGCGGGGGUCUAGCUGCGGCGUUCCUGGGCCUGGAGGGGGCCAGGCGGUGUUCACUCAAGGCUAAAGUGCCCAGGGCGCUUUCCCCUUCCACAACA